CAAGGGACAGUGUUGGUGGGACCAACACCUGUCAAUAUAAUUGGGAGAAAUAUUUUAACACAGAUAGGGUGCACACUGGUAUUCCCUAUCAGUUCAAUUGAAACUGUCCCAGU
rfam:Simian immunodeficiency virus isolate SIVcpzCAM13, complete genome.